AACCAGGCACACAACUUGGAAAUAAACAAGCUUUAUUUUCAGUUUCAACAGGUAAGGCGAUACCUACUUCAUCGUGUGCUUUUAUGUAAAUGCCAAAUAGCAAAAUAACAGCUAGAAAAUAAACAGUUUGUCAGUUUGAAGAUCAAGUACUUUAUCUAUCUUGAGUGUUAUCUAUCUUGGAAUUUAGCCAGGCCUAAAAGUAGCGGAAGUAUCAGGAAAUGCUAUAGAGAGCCAGUCUCCAGCUGCAGGUUGGUGGGCCUGCAGAAGCAGGCUGGGGGCGGGUAGAGGGACUGUCACCGUGAGCAUCCCCGGGAGUGGAGUGUGUGGGGAGUGCAGCCUGCAUGGCCCUCACAGGGGCACAGAGAGGCCUCAGCGAGCUCUGCUUCUGCGCUGCCACCCUCCCUUCCCCACUCCCUCCCUGGGGCCCAGGCUGCAGGGCUGAAGUGUUGGAAUUACAGGCGUGAGCCGCCGCGCCCGGGCCCCUCUGUAAAGUUUUUAACAGAGGUGUGUCUGACCCUGCCUGGAGAGGAGAGGACUGGCCGAGUCAGCAUCUGAAAUGCUGCUGCCCUACGAGACAGGCAGACAGGGUCGGCAGUGCCCGGGGGCCACGCAGGUCUCCCUCUGGGAGGAGGGGACAGCUCAGCGUGGCAGGGCGGGCUUACUGUCCUGUGUUCCCCCUGAGCCCAGGCGUGUGCUGGAG
rnacentral:lncRNA from 1 species